UACGUAGGGCGCAAGCGUUGUCCGGAAUUAUUGGGCGUAAAGAGCUCGUAGGCGGCCAGUUGCGUCUGCUGUGAAAUCCCGGGGCUCAACCUCGGGCGUGCAGUGGAUACGGGCUGGCUAGAGGCAGGCAGGGGAGAACGGAAUUCCCGGUGUAGCGGUGAAAUGCGCAGAUAUCGGGAGGAACACCGGUGGCGAAGGCGGUUCUCUGGGCCUGUACUGACGCUGAGGAGCGAAAGCGUGGGGAGCGAACAGG
rnacentral:rRNA from 1 species